rnacentral:sRNA from 1 species
GACUUAUAUCAACCUAUUUAAAUACUCCAUUGUCAAUGUUUAAAAGAGAGGUACGUCCUAUUGAAUUAAAAGCAGUGAGUACUGUUUGUUUCACGUGAUACCCCAUAUUUGGGAUUACAUUAGUAGAAGGCGCGUUGAUAUUUUCUUCAGGGACAUUCAUCAGAAUGCUUAACGGACAAACUACUUUCUGCUGCAUUUUGCUUGCGCUUCAGCGUUUGUAUAUUUGUGCAUUUGUACUACCGUGGCUAUUCACGUAUGUUAAAAAUGUACAGUUACCUCUAUUAAUUUCUAGUGCACAAUGAUAAAGUCACCAAUACACAAAUGUGAUGGGUUUUUUUCUUAUCAAAAUAUUGUUUGUCAGUCGUUUGAUACUGAUCAUUUUUGAAGCAACAAUUAAUCAACUAAAAGAACAGUAUUUUUUAAUGUGAGCAUGGAACAAAGUAAAUGGUACACAAUUUUUCCUUUUUUACCUUCUAAAGUAAAAAUCAAGAAUUACAAACAUUCCGGCAAGUAAUUAAAUAUUGUGUAUAAAACAGCCAAAUACCACGUGCGUUUGUUGAAUCGUAAACACGUUAUAGACCGUCAUGCAUUGCAACUCAUUCACUGGAUUGGAGAAUCUGUUUGCCGAAAAUACUGUCACGUGUUAAACAAUGCUAUCCAUAUAAGGUAGUGUACCCGACCUGUUUAACGUAGUUUUUUUCCUGAUCUGAGUUAUAUAGAUAUGAAUUUUGUCAUACGUCCAUCGUUAGCCUAAACAAUUUUCAUUAGUUCAAAUGUUAUGGUAUGCAAUAAAUUAAUCAAACAAUAAUGAUUGUGAUUAAUAUAUAUCUAAAAUUUAAACAAUUGGAGUGUUUUUGUUUGUCUGAAAAUCAUUAUUUAUAUGUUUCUGCAUGGUAUUAUUUAGUAUUAUACAUGUAAUAAAAUCAAGGUCAGACAUCUACUUUGGUAGGUCUCAGUAAAUGUAUUUUUUUCUCUUUUAUUACAUAACGAUGAAAUACCACGUUGUUCUGAUAAACACAUAUUAUUGCAUUAAAUUUUACUUGAAUCUGCUGUAGGUUAUAAUAUCCUAAAAUAGCAUUACUUGAAGUUUACACUAGUUGAACUACAGUAUCAACGACUCCAUGUAUUAAAAAGUGACUAUAAGGAACUACCAAAAGUGAACUGUGGAACAUUUGACCAGGGGUUUAACAACCCCUCCCCCUUUUUUUAGACACAAGGGAGUCUAAAUAUUGUCUACUUGUGAAUUAUAUUCAUUUUUAUGUUAUACUGAAGGGCUGUAAUGCCGAAAGUUGUACUUUCUGAAUAAACAUUGUUAUUUGAUUUUUUUAUGAUAUUUCUGAAAUAAAACCAUGCUUUGUU